GUCUAGGCAGUCCCUCUUCCAAGCAGCUCCGCCCCGCAGUCGAGGACAGACAGGCGAAGAGGCUGAGACAUCUGCUGAGAGAGAGAGAGAGAGAGAGAGAGAGAGAGAGAGAGUGCGUGAAAGAGAGAAAGAGAUGCUUGUCUUUAGGUUGCAAAAGGAGAAAAUGACAUUUCACACUUAUGAAAGCGACGGUCUGUGAGAAGCAGCAAGUUGUUUACGUGCAGAAGAGACGUUCAAAGCGCCACAGCGUCAACUUUGCGCGUGAUGCACCGUGUGUUGGUUCAGCAUCGCGUCGGAGAGCACGUAAUGAACCCGCAACCAAGAUAACUUUCAUACGGCAGUUCUACACAGAAGUGUGGCAGACCUUUUUCCUCUUUUAUUGACUGGUGAUAUAGAAUACCGACUCUCUUCAAGUGGCUUCAGAAAAAAGGACCACGCGCAAGUGUGGAGAAGAAGGAUUUUAGCGCGUACAUCUUCACAUGAAUGGGUGGUAACUCUUUGGUCACUUUUUACGAGUCUAAGAAAAGUUUUUGAAAGCCACGGGAAGAAAUAAUGGACGCGAGAAGUAAGCGAUGUUACAGUUUAACAUGCAGCGCCUCUCUUUCGUCGAUUGUCAUGGAAACAUCUCAAGCUAUGGAAGUCGAGAUGCUAGAUGGAUCCACCGUGAGAAGUUCUAUCAGUGAAUUUUGACUGCUUGUAUAUAUAUAUAUUUUUUUUUGCAGAAGAAUGUGAUGCUUUUCAAUAAACGCUCCCACACAUGGUCGUUCUUAAAAAGCAAAUUACCAACUGAACUUGUAUAUCAUUCCCGUUUGCGCUGAUAUUAUGGACAAGAACUUUACUAUAGCUAAACAGAUGGAGUUGACACUUCUCGUGGCCGUCCUCUUAUUUUGGAUCACCGUGUGUGCUGAUGACAGUAAGAUCAUUUCAGACCGAUAUGCUGUUUACUGGAAUAGCACCAAUUCCAGAUUCUUGAAUGGUGAAUACACUGUGGAGGUGGCCAUUAAUGACUAUCUGGAUAUAUACUGUCCACACUAUGAGGAACAUCUUCCUCAAGAGCGCAUGGAACGCUACAUCCUUUUCAUGGUCAACUAUGAUGGCUAUACCACCUGCAACCACCACAUGAAAGGAUUUAAACGCUGGGAAUGCAACCGCCCAAUAAGUCCAAAUGGGCCCCUCAAGUUCUCAGAGAAGUUCCAGCUGUUCACACCCUUCUCUUUGGGCUUUGAGUUCCGUCCAGGCCAUGAAUACUACUACAUCUCCUCUCCACACCCCAACCUUGGUGGAAAGCCAUGUUUGAAAUUAAAGGUGUAUGUCAAGCCUACAAAUGACUCUUUAUACGAGUCUCCAGAGCCGUUUCUGACAGAUGACUCCAGUGGUGGUUGGAUAUUAAUGCCCAGUCUGUGGCUCAUGCUUCCACUGCUUUUACAUCUGUGUUCCUCAUAG
ensembl:processed_transcript